CACGUAGGGGGCAAGCGUUGUCCGGAAUCAUUGGGCGUAAAGAAGCUCGUAGGCGGCUCAGUAAGUCGGGUGUGAAACCCUCAGGCUCAACCUGGGGACGCCACCCGAUACUGCUGUGGCUAGAGUCCAGUAGGGGAGUGUGGAAUUCCCGGUGUAGCGGUGAAAUGCGCAGAUAUCAGGAGGAACACCGGUGGCGAAGGCGGGUCUCUGGGCCGGAACUGACGCUAAGGAGCGAAAGCGUGGGGAGCGAACAGG
rnacentral:rRNA from 1 species